rnacentral:lncRNA from 1 species
ACUGCAGAAACUGACGAGCAGGGCAGUGGUUACCUCCUCUGACUCAUCCUUUCUCAGCAGACCUCCUGACUCAGUAGGUACCAAGACACUGGACACUUUCCACUGGUUAUUACAAUAUUUUGAAUAUAGAUCCCUGCAUUGUACAGUAGGAUCAGCAGACCCAGGCCAGCAAAGGCUAGCUGGAGCGGCCCCCAAAUUCUGACCAAGGCGCCAGCAGGAACAAAAGGUCUCCAUCCCGAAGCUCGUGCCAUGGCUGGACCAGAGCAGAUGUUCCACAUGUGGUUCUCUGAGUGAGUCCUCGUUCCACCACUUCUUAGCUGGGAGACCUUGAGUAAGAAUGUGGGCACCCUGGCUGGAGCUCCUGAAGCCAUCUUGUGACCUUGAGGAUAGAAGUCAUGGGCCAAGGAUGGGCCAAGCUGAGUGAGAAGUCACCUCCAUACCAGUCCUGAAUUGCCUGCUUUGAAACUUCUUCAUAAAAGAAAUGUGAGACUUCAUUUAAUUUAAGCCACUUUAGUUUUCUCUUUUAGACAGCUAAAUCAAAAUCCGAUACAACAACCACGCAGUUUCAUGCCUCUGAGUUUUUGCAUAGCUGUUCUCUCUUCUAGGAACUUUUCCUUCCAGUCCUCUACCUGGUGAACUUGUAAUCGUGUUUGAAGCUUCCACUGCAGCAUCCCACUCUGUGUGGAAUCCCUUCUAACUGACCCCUCAGGUAGGCAUAAUAUAUGUUUAAUAAAUAUUCAAAUAAUUAAGUAAUAAUUGUUGAAGGAAAACUUCUAAGAAUGAAUGAAAAAUGAAUCAUGUACAUAAAAAUGACAAGGAGGGAGUGCUCUUUGUGGCUUAGCAGUUAUUGAAACUGACAAGGGUCUAUGAGGAUGCAGGUUCGAUCCCUGGACUCGCUCAGUGGGUUAAGGACCUGGUGUUGCCGUGAGCUGUGGUGUAGGUCACAGAUGGGACUCAGAUCACACGUUGCAGUGGCUGUGGCAUAGG